CAGUCGCCACGGUAAUACGUAGGGCGCAAGCGUUGUCCGGAAUUAUUGGGCGUAAAGAGCUCGUAGGCGGUCUGUCGCGUCUGGUGUGAAAUCCCGAGGCUCAACCUCGGGCUUGCAUCGGGUACGGGCAGACUAGAGUGCGGUAGGGGAGACUGGAAUUCCUGGUGUAGCGGUGGAAUGCGCAGAUAUCAGGAGGAACACCGAUGGCGAAGGCAGGUCUCUGGGCCGCAACUGACGCUGAGGAGCGAAAGCAUGGGGAGCGAACAGGAUUAGAUACCCCGGUAGUCCCUGUCUCUUAUAA
rnacentral:rRNA from 1 species